CUGGGAUCUGGUUAGCAGCUAAUGAUCAGUGGGCUCUGGCUAUAAUGAUCGGAUUAGCUGCGCUUUAAUCACUGUCUAUUGUUUCAGCAGGGAGAGAAUUUCACAGCUCAUUGACUGCUCUGACUCCUAAUCUACACCGAGGAAACAAUGUUGCAGCUCAUCAAAUGCAAUCAGCUGCUAAUUGAAAGGAAAUGGAAUUUUACAAUUACAGGCCACCUUUCAGUGCUCAGGAUUUCUAAGCACUUCUCCCCACCUUCCUUUGCCAGCUCAGCACUGGCAGGAGCACUUGACAACCUGCUAGAGACUUCCCUAAAAGCUGCAUUUAGGACCUGGCCCGUUCUCCCCAGCUCCAGAGCAGCAGCAAAGGGAAGCAGCGUCCUCGCCAAUACCUGGGCUGUCCUUCAAGGCUCAGUGCAAGGAAAAACACCUGGGUUGGACAUCAGUCAAAUUCCAGGUGCUAACCCUUAAUUCUCAACUGCGGGAGAAGUGGCCCCAGGCAGAGCUUGAAGCUUCCUGCUCCCUCCAACCAAAGGCACUGCUAGACCACAGCCUUCCACGGGAAGCACAUUCAAUCCCUCCCCUGCAAGGAAUUAUAACUUUCAGCACUUCUCACCUUGCAUGAAGGUAAUCGUGAUUGCCCAGGUGUGGCGUGAGGAUUGAGAGAGAGAAUGCUUAUAGAGCACCGAGCGUAGUGCUUAGCAUGUGGGAACACUCCAGAGUGUCCACUGCUUCUAACAUUCUAGAAUGGAAAAAAAUAUGGAAGCUUUGGUGUCAGAAUAAACCUA
rnacentral:lncRNA from 1 species